rnacentral:rRNA from 1 species
UACAGAGGUGGCAACCGUUGUCCGGAUUUAUUGGGGGUAAAGGGCAUGUAGGUGGUUCUAUAAGUCAAAGGUGAAAUCCCCCGGCUUACCCGGGGACCUGCAUCCCAAACUGCGCGACUUGAGUAUGGGAGAGGAUGAGGGAAUUCCUGGUGUAGCGGUGAAAUGCGUAGAUAUCAGGAGGAACACCAGUGGCGAAGGCGAGUCUCUGGACGACACCUGACACUGAGGCACGAAAGCUAGGGGAGCAAACAGG